UGGGGAUUAGCCAAGUGGUAAGGCAGCGGACUUUGACUCCGCCACUCGGGGGUUCGAAUCCCUCAUCCCCAGCCA
rnacentral:tRNA from 1 species